UACGUAAGGGGCGAGCGUUGUCCGGAUUUAUUGGGCGUAAAGAGCGUGUAGGCGGCCGAGCAGGUCCGUUGUGAAAACUGAAGGCUCAACCUUCAGAGGUCGAUGGAAACCGUUCGGCUAGAGUCCGGAAGAGGAGAGUGGAAUUCCUGGUGUAGCGGUGAAAUGCGCAGAUAUCAGGAAGAACACCCGUGGCGAAAGAGGCUCUCGGGGACGGUACUGACGCUGAGACGCGAAAGCUUGGGGAGCGAACAGG
rnacentral:rRNA from 1 species